AGGGAUGAACGCUAGCUACAGGCUUAACACAUGCAAGUCGAGGGGCAGCAUGAGCUCAGCUUUGCUGAGUUUGAUGGCGACCGGCGCACGGGUGAGUAACGCGUAUCCAACCUGCCCUUUACUCCGGGAUAGUCUCCUGAAAGGGAGUUUAAUACCGGAUGUGUUUGUUUUUCCGCAUGGGAGCGACAAAUAAAGAUUAAUUGGUAAAGGAUGGGGAUGCGUCCCAUUAGCUUGUUGGCGGGGUAACGGCCCACCAAGGCGACGAUGGGUAGGGGUUCUGAGAGGAAGGUCCCCCACAUUGGAACUGAGACACGGUCCAAACUCCUACGGGAGGCAGCAGUGAGGAAUAUUGGUCAAUGGGCGGGAGCCUGAACCAGCCAAGUAGCGUGAAGGACGACGGCCCUACGGGUUGUAAACUUCUUUUAUAAGGGAAUAAAGUUCGCCACGCGUGGUGUUUUGUAUGUACCUUAUGAAUAAGCAUCGGCUAAUUCCGUGCCAGCAGCCGCGGUAAUACGGAAGAUGCGAGCGUUAUCCGGAUUUAUUGGGUUUAAAGGGAGCGUAGGCGGGCUUUUAAGUCAGCGGUCAAAUGCCACGGCUCAACCGUGGCCAGCCGUUGAAACUGUAAGCCUUGAGUCUGCACAGGGCACAUGGAAUUCGUGGUGUAGCGGUGAAAUGCUUAGAUAUCACGAAGAACUCCGAUCGCGAAGGCAUUGUGCCGGGGCAGCACUGACGCUGAGGCUCGAAAGUGCGGGUAUCAAACAGGAUUAGAUACCCUGGUAGUCCGCACGGUAAACGAUGAAUGCUCGCUAUGGGCGAUAUAUUGUCCGUGGCCAAGCGAAAGCGUUAAGCAUUCCACCUGGGGAGUACGCCGGCAACGGUGCA
rnacentral:rRNA from 1 species